GUAUCUAAAAUUUUUUUAUAAAUCUAUAUAAAUAAGGAUCAAAUACUUACCUGAAUUAUAGCAGAAUUGGAGAUCAAAUCUUCAAAAUCUAAAUUCAACCUUCACAUAGGCCUCGAACUGCAGGCCCACUACUUCACGUUCACACCAAGCAACGUAGGAAAGCAGGAUGAAUCUCUAGAUUGAUGCACCAUCGCAAGGCCACC
rnacentral:lncRNA from 1 species